rnacentral:rRNA from 1 species
GACGAACGCUGGCGGCGUGCUUAACACAUGCAAGUCGAGCGGUAAGGCCCUUUCGGGGGUACACGAGCGGCGAACGGGUGAGUAACACGUGGGUGACCUGCCCUCAGCUCUGGGAUAAGCCUGGGAAACUGGGUCUAAUACCGGAUAUGACUUCGCAUCGCAUGGUGUGGGGUGGAAAGUUUUUCGGCUGGGGAUGGGCCCGCGGCCUAUCAGCUUGUUGGUGGGGUGAUGGCCUACCAAGGCGACGACGGGUAGCCGGCCUGAGAGGGCGACCGGCCACACUGGGACUGAGACACGGCCCAGACUCCUACGGGAGGCAGCAGUGGGGAAUAUUGCGCAAUGGGCGGAAGCCUGACGCAGCGACGCCGCGUGGGGGAUGACGGCCUU